UCUUGGAGGGGGGGAGAGAGAGAACGGGGGUUCUGUGACGUCACUGGGCUGGGGUGAAAUUGACGCGAGUGGCUUGGCGCUAACCCGGGAUCAGGAAUGAGCCUGUCCCUCUUUGGCAACGCAGACAAAGGGGUGCAGAACUUCAUUGACACUCCUUCCUGAGCGGCUUGUCAUCAAGUGCUCUGAGGGCAUUGCGGAUGCUUCCUGUCAGCGCCGAAUCCUUCACUGUUCCUGAGUGAACCUAGACGUAAAUUGCAAUCAUUUGAUUGGGCAUCGCGAACCCCACUCCGUCCUGUCAUAUUUUGUUUUUUGAACUCUCAGGUACGUGUAAUGGGAGAAGACUUGCUAAUGCUCUGACAGAAUUCCUAAUUUUACGUGACUGCUCUUGGCCACUGGGAAAGUGCACGUUUUGUAGGAUGUACUGGGGAAGGGGAUUGCUCUUUAAUCAUCGCAAUGUAUAGGGUAUUAUUUGCCCCCAAAUGUUGAUAUCCAAGCACAGAAUGGAUAGCUGGCACAUUAAAAUGUGCCAAUUUGAUACUAUUGAAAUCGCAGUAACGGGCGGCGGGGGGCAGAUUUCCGGGACGUACUGACAGCGUUACAUCUAAAAACAGCACACUGACAGUGAUAAUAUUGAAAACACCACCUUUUUUGAUCAACGUAGGAAAGGGAAGGCAAACUUGAUCGGUGGGAGAGAGAUAGUAACCGUGAGAAGUGAGAUGUGGACCAGCAAGAUAAAGACCGAAAGAGGCAGUCAGGUCGCAAAUGGAGCUGAAACGAGGGACUGCCAAAGUCCUGAUCGAGCAAAGCUAAUAAGCAAACGUAAGCUAGCUGAACCACUGCAAAGAUUUAAUCAAUGGGAAAGAAGUCGAGUCGACUCAGCAAGAGGGGCAAAAAGACAAGUGCAAAAGGAGACACUGGAAAACGUUUUGAGAAAGUUUAAAAUUGGCAACUACUUUUAGGCAUCAGCCAAUUGGCAAGGAUGCGGCAUAGCCCGGCAAUUCAUAGAGAAGGGAUUAUUCAGUUUUUGCGCAAUGAAUUCCGGUAUAAAUGUGUACCUCUUGUACAACACAACAGCCAGUUUAGUUCAAAGGUUGAAGAAGCAUGACUGCUCUCCAGUUCCGGUAUUAGGCUACAGCGUCCUCCAGUGGAAUUACACAGUAUGUUAGGGUGAAAUAAAGCUGUCAUUUUUAUAGUACGCAUUCACAUCGUCACGAUUUUCCGAAGUACUUGGCGGCCCAUGAAUUACUUUAGAAGGGUAGUCACUGUGAUAAUGUAGACAAAUGCCCAACGUCCCGCACACUACUAAGCUACUAAGACAAAUUACCGUGUGAUCGAAACAGAAAAUGCUGGAAAAACUCAGCAGGUCUGGCAGCAUCUGUGGAGAGAGAAACAGGGUUAACGUUUUGAAUCCGUAGGACCAUAUAAUCAGUUCAAUUAGAGAUGUUAUGCGGGACAUUUCUCUUCAAGUAACGCACAAGGUGGUUUUGCAUUCAGCUGAACGAGACAUUGGAUCUCUGUUUUAAUCCCUCCGCCAGCAACGCAAAAAUCCCUCAGUAUAGCACAGGAACAUCAACCUGCACCAUGCAACUAAAACGUUUCACACUGAUAACCCUUCACCAGAAUGGCAAAGUUGUUACCAUUGAGCUUGAUUGACAUUUGCUUGGGUAGAAAUUACCAGCUGCUAGUGAAAUAUGUUAAUGAAUCUCAGCUCACCCAAAUAGGAGAAACGUUUCUAAUUGGAUAUAGAAAUAUUAAAUAACGGAAAUACCAAGCUUACAUGAAAAUCUCCAGGCUGAAAAAUUGUUCUGGUUGCUAUCUUGACAUUCCAGUUAAGUUAGAGACUUGGUACAUCAAUCGUUCAAGCGAGUCCACCAUCAGAAAAGUAGCGAAUUAGGGAGGGUGAAGGUGGCUCUGGUAUCUCCCCAAGUACCAAGCAGAGAAUUAGGGGUAGCGACCCGUCUGUGUGGGCUCUGAUGCUUUUCAGGAUGCCUCUAAAAUGAAGUGCCUGGCCUACCGCGGGCAUAGACCAAAGGCAACGACAUUAACGAGAAGCAAAGGAGUUUGCUUUAUUUUACUCUUGCAGCAUUAGUGGGUAUCCAUUUUGAAGUAUGUCCAUAACAACUGAGUCAUCAGUCCUGUUCCCAGCCUCUAGGAGUGGAGAAUCAGAGAGAGGAGGACAUCCAAAAAAAUGGCAAGUCUCUUUCUUUGUCCAGGGACGUGAAUCAGUGCAGUAGGCUGUUAGAGGCUGACUUUUCUACUCGCCUUCCAGGCACUGAAUUCCACCAAGGAUUGCACCUGCAUGGCAGCUGGCCUAGAAAUAGAAGUGUCUAAACCAAUGCAGGCAGAGUGCAGUUUAAAUGUCAAUCAGAUGCAAGAGGCCGAGGAAAUUGGAAAAUAGGAAAUCCACCAAAUUCAAAUCCACUCAUUGUCUGAAAUGGAAGGUUAAUUUGGCAAAGAAUGGUCCUUUUGGGACAGGAAGAUUGCAUGAAAUGAGCAUGAAUACAGAAAUUUCCAAUUUCGUGACAUCAUGGAAUCUGCCAGAUGAUUGGUGAAAAGUAAUUGGUAUUACACACCAAAUCCAUUUGAAAGGUCACAUGGUUCUGGAAGCCGGAGUAACAAAGAUGGUUAACAGUAUCCAUCCCAAGGCUGCUUUAAUGCCCCUGAUUUUUCUUCUUUAUAAACUUGAUGUAUGGGAAAUUGCGCAAUGACCCCAAACUUCACUAGAAUAGAAGUCUACACUAUUGAUAUCUUAGUUAGCUGAAUUAUCAGUUUGUGCUGAUAGCCCAGUCAUUAACAAGCAUAUUUGCAUGUAUGCAUAUCAAAGAUAUGGGUUAUGGCAAAAUGGGUAAAUACCUGGGGAACAGAGGGGUCUGCACACACAUUACAAGUUGUUUACAAGUGAAAAUACAAACAUUUUUCAGUGGCAUUCCCUGAUAGGUGAUAUCUUUUACAUGGAUGGUUUUACUGUACUAGUCCAGAUUUUGCUUAAAAUGUUAUGAACAAUCUAUGCUGUUAUUAAUGCACAAAUUGGCCUGAAACUUGCAAUAUGAUAGCUACCAUAUGAAAUGCAAAUUGCCAGCAGUUGCUGAUCAAUUUAUGCUGCUCCCUUACUAGCAUCACAAAACAGCAUCUCUCUCAACUUCUCCAAGGUAGUAAUGAAGUAGCUGUACCUGCACAUUAAUUGUCCAUUAAUUACUAAACUUCGCAGAACUUAAGUAUCUUCUGAACAAUGUUAGAAUUGUUAAUGACUGUCAACCUUUCUUGUGCAGAAAGCAAACAAUUAUAAAAACAUGGAGCUUCAUUCCUGCAGGCUGUGAAUUGUUUAUUUUUAAAAUGUCAAUAUUUAAAUGUAAAUUUAUCUUACUUUGCCUAUCUUUUCUUAAUCCAAUUUUUAUUUCUUUCUGUACCCAAUUUGAUAUUGGAUUCACUCAAAUUCACCCUCCUUAGUCCUUCCUGUUCAUUUCUGAAUCCUUGUACCUUAUUGAAUAAAGAUGCACCUUUCAUCCUGUU